rnacentral:piRNA from 1 species
UGUAGAGGUAGAGAAAAUCCCCAAGAAU